rnacentral:rRNA from 1 species
CGUACACUCCUGCGGGAGGCAGCAGUGAGGAAUAUUGGACAAUGGGUGGAAGCCUGAUCCAGCCAUCCCGCGUGCAGGAAGACGGCACUAUGGGUUGUAAACUGCUUUUAUCUGGGGAUAAACCUACUUACGUGUAAGUAGCUGAAGGUACCAGAAGAAUAAGCACCGGCUAACUCCGUGCCAGCAGCCGCGGUAAUGCGGAGGGUGCAAGCGUUAUCCGGAUUUAUUGGGUUUAAAGGGUCCGUAGGCGGACUGAUAAGUCAGUGGUGAAAUCCGACAGCUUAACUGUCGAACUGCCAUUGAUACUGUUAGUCUUGAGUAAGGUUGAAGUGGCUGGAAUAAGUUGUGUAGCGGUGAAAUGCAUAGAUAUUACUUAGAACACCAAUUGCGAAGGCAGGUCACUAAGUCUUAACUGACGCUGAUGGACGAAAGCGUGGGGAGCGAACAGGAUUAGAAACCCGUGUAGUCCCA